CCAAUAGCGUAUAUUAAAGUUGUUGCAGUUAAAAAGCUCGUAGUUGAAUUUCGGGACCAAUCUGCCGGUCGUGCCUCCGGUACGCACUGGUUUUAUUGGUUUCUCCCUUCUGACGAACCAUGAUGUCAUUAAUUUGGUGUCAUGGGGAAUCAGGACUGUUACUUUGAAAAAAUUAGAGUGUUUAUAGCAGGCUCACGCUUGAAUACAUUAGCAUGGAAUAAUGAAAUAGGACGUUUGACCCUAUUUUGUUGGUUUCUAGGAUCGACGUAAUGAUUAAGAGGGAUAGUUGGGGGCAUUAGUAUUCAAUUGUCAGAGGUGAAAUUCUUGGAUUUAUUGAAGACUAACUACUGCGAAAGCAUUUGCCAAGGAUGUUUUCAUUAAUCAAGAACGAAAGUUAGGGGAUCGAAGACGAUCAGAUACCGUCGUAGUCUUAACCAUAAACUAUGCCGACUAGGGAUCGGAUGAUGUUAAUUUUUUAAUGACUCAUUCGGCGCCUUACA
rnacentral:misc_RNA from 1 species